UACGUAGGGGGCUAGCGUUGUCCGGAAUCAUUGGGCGUAAAGCGCGUGUAGGCGGUCCGGUAAGUCCGCUCUGAAAGCCCGGGGCUCAACCCCGGGAGGCGGGUGGAUACUGCUGAGCUCGAGUCCGGAAGAGGAGUGUGGAAUUCCUGGUGUAGCGGUGAAAUGCGCAGAUAUCAGGAGGAACACCAAUGGCGAAGGCAGCACUCUGGGACGGUACUGACGCUGAGACGCGAAAGCGUGGGGAGCAAACAGG
rnacentral:rRNA from 1 species